AUGAUCAAACUCUUUCAUAAUUCUUUCGUUGAUUAAUAUUUCUGUUCUCUCAUUGUUCUGGAGUUAACUUGAUUGAGUUGUCAUGCACUGCUUGAAAUUUUGGAUACCAUAGGAAGAUGAUGGAUGAAUUUGAGAAGGUGAAGCAACAAUUGGUAGAGUAUAAGAUCCUGUCACGGCCCAUAUCCCAAAAGCUUGGUCUCUAGUGAUUUGAAACCCUAACUCAAGUCUUGAGAUAAUUGACCUUUUUUUUUUCAUGAUAGUUGGACCUAGAUUUUUGGCUUCUACAAGAUUGUUGUCAUUGAGAACCUUCAUCAAUUUGGAGUGGGACAACUUUCCAUUCAGUUGCAGGAAGUGUACUAUAGUUAUAAGGAAAAAAAAUAUGUAAUUGAGGAACUAUUUGUGUAUCAGACAGACCAUGUAAUUAUUUAGUCCUCAUGGAAUGAAAUUGAGUUCAAUUUACUUGAGAAA